rnacentral:rRNA from 1 species
CCUACGGGUGGCUGCAGUGAGGAAUAUUGGUCAAUGGACGAGAGUCUGAACCAGCCAAGUAGCGUGAAGGAUGACUGCCCUCUGGGUUGUAAACUUCUUUUAUAUGGGAAUAAAAUGUUCCGCGUGUGGGCUUUUGUAUGUACCAUAUGAAUAAGGAUCGGCUAACUCAGUGCCAGCAGCCGCGGUAAUACGGAGGAUACGAGCGUUAUCCGGAUUUAUUGGGUUUAAAGGGAGCGUAGGUGGAUUGUUAAGUCAGUUGUGAAAGUUUGCGGCUGAACCGUAAAAUUGCAGUUGAAACUGGCAGUCUUGAGUACAGUAGAGGUGGGCAGAAUUCGAGGUGUAGCGGUGAAAUGCUUAGAUAUCACGAAGAACUCCGAUUGCGAAGGCAGCUCACUGGACUGCGACUGACACUGAGGCUCGAAAGUGUGGGGAUCAAACAGGAUUAGAUACCCCUGUAGUC